rfam:Salmo salar isolate Sally breed double haploid chromosome ssa26, whole genome shotgun sequence.
GACCUCGUGGCGCAAAGGUAGCUUGUCUGACUCCAGAUCAGAAGGUUGCGUGUUCAAAUCACGUCGUGGUCA